UCCUUUCUUCGACUUUUCCCCUCCAUCUCUUUAUCCAUAACCAGACCUUAGGAGCCCUCUGUUUCCUUUCAUGAAUCGGCCGGAUUGUAAGUGUGGAGACUGCGCGUUUUGAAGGAGAUGGUGAAGAGGCGACUCAGAGAGAAAACUGCAGGAUUUUAGAGAGCCCUAGGAGCAGAAGCAGAAGCAACAGGCAUUUCUUGCUGAGAGAUAUGUAUGAUGAUAUGAUGCUGGAUGGAGUACAGCCAACUAGGGAUACAUUCCAUUCUGUCAUCAGUUAGUGGAAAGGUGGAUAAGCAAAAUGCUCAUUUCUUUGGUGUUACGAUCAACGAGCAACAAGCCGAGUGUGGUAUUGUAGUAAGAGUUACUUCAAAUGCACAAAGCAAAUUUAAGGUA